AAACAAAAUCACAAAAAUAGGUUCAUUAAUGUUUUGUAGUCAUUUUUAAUUAAAAAAAAUCUUAAAAAUAUAUACAAUAAUAGUAUCGUAUUUUUAUUUUAAUAUGAUAUUUUGAAAAUACCAAAAAUAGAUUUGUUUUAAUGGUUAGUUUUAUCUUAAUAAUUAUUUGAAUAGUAGGAAUAAUUAACAAAUGGGCGCAUAUUUUAAUCUCAUUCGCGGCAAAAUAAUAGAGCUUGGGCUCGAGCAACCCAUUUUAGGCUUAAUUUUGGACCUAACCCAUAAUUGUCAAGCCCAUAAUUCCUAGGCCCAUACCCCUUAACCUAAAAAUCCUACAACCUAGACUCUACACUAUAAAAGAAUGAUGAAGACUAAAGGAAAAGGGGGAACGAUAUACACGGAAAAGGAGCUGCGCAACCUUUUUAAAGAAAAAGGACCCUCCCUUUCGUUUUCUUCUGAAAAGGAACACCAAAGAAAAUGAUGAAAAAGCUGAAGGAGGAAGGCUGAAGAACGAGAAGCUGCGCAACUUCUAAAAGAACGACUCCCCCUCCCCCAGACUUUGGUCUCCUUCGAACACGACCCCCUCCCCCUCCAUCAGUCUGGUUUUCUUCUUCUCCAAAUCCUCUCACCAACCUAACGACCCUAGGGACUAAGAAAAACAGAGUAAUUGCAGCUUCUUCAACUCCUCUCGCCCACCAGCGGCGAACUCGCCGGAAAAUGCACAGCCAAAACUCGUCAUCACCCUAGCUCCUUUAUCACCUUCAACUACUUCACUCUCUCUCAUUGGAGAUAUCACCGACGACUCGUUCUAGUUCAAAACUACCGAGUCUCUGCCAAAGCUGGUCAAACAGGUGAAGUCUGGCGAGAGACCUGGCGAGUGUCGAGGUCCGGUCGUAAUUCCAUUGAGGUUUCCGGCGAAGCCUUGAUCUAAUGGUUCGAGGACAUCACCAGGUCAGUGGCUAGCAUUGGACACUUUGGUCUCCGAGAGGUCUCUUUUCUCCUCUUUUUAAUUCUUCUAAUUUUUCUUUUUUUCCAUGAUAUUUAUUGAAUUUUGUCUACAUUAAUUUGUGUUUAAGAUAAAAUGAUAUGCUUAUUAUUAUGUGGUUGGAAUUACGUUAAUAUCAUGAAUCAAUUGAAUAGGGGUUUAGUUUUUUAAAGAUUUGACGUCAUGUAUAGCCAUAUAUUAGGCGUUUUCUUAUUUCAAUUUCAUAUGCAAUCCAUUUGAGUGCUGGAGAUUUGCACAUCAAUCUUAGAUUUAUGUUUCAGAAAACAUAUUUUGGUCAAAUAAAAUUUUGGAAAAGGGAACAAAAUAAAGUAGCUCAAAUGGGUUUUAAGGUUGGGCAGUUGGUUAAUCUCAUUAAUAAUCCAAUUUUUCUUAUCUAUUUUGAAUAGUUUCCUUGGAAAGUAAACAUCUCAAAUUAGCUUUUAAAAAAUAUUCAAACUAAUGAAUCUCGUAGUUGCUUUAGGCGCGAUUUUAAUUAAAUUACCUUCUUAAACUCGGGUGCGCAUUGAUGUGAUCCAAAUCCAAAUCUCGACGAAGUCAAAAUAUAUUGACAACCACGGGUGCAUUGAUUGUGACGUGGUUCAAAACGCGUUUUCACGACAUCGCAAUUCUUUUAAAAUAAAUAAUAAUAAAAAGCGGUUUACGAAUAAAAGGCACCUAAGCUAGCAGGUAUUAAAAUAAGAUAAAAUCAAAUGCAAAAGUUAAGCGACCGUGCUAAAACCACGGAACUUGGGAAUGCCUAACACCUUCUCCCGGGUUAACAGAAUUCCUUACUCGGAUUUCUGGUUCGUAGACUGUUAACAGAGUCAAAUGUUUCCUCGGUUCGGGAUACAACCGGUGACUUGGGACACCAUUAAUCUCUCAAGUGGCGACUCUGAAUAAUCAAUAAUUAAAUCCCGUUCCGAUUGUCCUUUAAAUGGAAAAAAUCCUUUACGCCCUUCCGGGGGUGUAGGUGAAAAAGGAGGUGUGACACACCUGUUUAGUGGGAUUUCAGACAGGAUUUUUGAUCAUUUUACAACUUUCUCAAACCCUAAACAUACUUAGGCGAUUUUUUAAAGGCUCAAACUUCUCCAAAUCAUAAGUAAGUGAUUUCUAACUCAUCUUCUUCUAUCUAAUCCAUCUUUUUACAUAAAUUCACUUUACAAUCUAGGGUUUUUCAUGGGAAAUUGGGUGUGUUUGGGUAGAAAUUAGGAUUUUAAAAUUUUGGGGAUUUGGACCUCAAUUUGAGGUCGGAUUUCAAUACUAAUUGAAUAUUUGAGUUCCUAAAUGAAUGAGUAAUCGAGUUUUGGUUCGAAUUUUGAGUUUUGGCCAAGCGGGCCAGAGGGCAAUUUUAUACUUUUUGGGAAAAAACAAUGGAAAAUUUAUUUUCAUGCAUUAGAAUUGGUUUAUUUAGCAUUUAUUGAUGUUAUUAAAUAAAUUAUGACUAGAUACAAGCGGAUUGAAAGUGGAAUCGAGAGGUAAAGCGGUAAUUGAGGCUUAAUCUUGUCCGAAAAAUUGAGGUAAGUGUUUGGCCUAACCUUAGCUUGAGGGAAUAGGAGUUGCGUCUUAUUUGCUAUGUGUUAGUAUGAGUACGACGUAUAGGUAUGGUGACGAGUAUCUAUAUGUUGGUGUCAAGCAUGCCCGUGAGUCUUAUAUCAUGAUUGUUGUGACUCUAUUAUGUAUCGAUCAUGCUCAAACUGAUGAUUAUCAAUGUUGAACAAAGCUUAUGAAAGUUUCUUGGUAAUUGACUAUUGUUGAGUAUUGGCUCAAGUUGAGUUUCAUUUUGUAAAGUAAUCGUUGAAAACAAGUUUGGUUAUAACUGAAUCCCUUGCUGGGAUGUUAGUGUUGAUAUUGUUGAUUCCCAUACCGGGACGUAUUGUUUCUAUUGUUUGGGUGAGGAAGAGUGUAAAGCGUGAAUGGUGAUACCGUGCAUGAUAUUGUGAGUGAGUGUAAUGCACGAAGGGUGAUGUCAUGCCGAUAUUAUGAGUGAUAAUGCACGAAGGGUUAUGUCGUGCCAUGAUUUGAGAGUUAAUUUACGAAGGGUGAUGCUGUGCCGAUAUUGUGAGGAAUAAUGCACGAAGGGUAAUGUCGUGCCAUGAUUAUUAGAGGUAACGCACGAAGGGUGAUGCCGUGUCGUUUCUUUUGUUUCAUAUGGUGAGGACGAGAGUAAAAGCACGAAGGGUGAUGUCGUGCACGUGUUACCAUUUCAUUAUUCUUGUUGAUAUAGAUAUGAUGUUCAUUAUGCUUCUUUAUUGAUGCUUCUUUAUUGGUUUAUUGUUAGAAUCUAAUAUUCCCCGUAGCAUGCCCCCUUCCCACCUUAUUCUGUUGAUUCCUGUUACUAUGAUUCUGUUUGUAUAUGAUUUAACUACACAGGUUUAUAUGGUUAUCGUGUCUUAGCCUCGUCACUACUUCGCCGAGGUUAGGCUCGACACGUACUCAGUACAUGUGGUCGGUUGUACUGAUGCUACACUCUGCACUCUUUUGUAUAGAUUUUGGUAUCGGACCCAGUGAGUAGUUGAGGUAGUUGCCUUCCAUUUAGGGAGACCAAGGUAGAUCUGCUGGCGUCCGCAGAGCCUAAAGUCCCCCUUCCCUGUUUUAGCUUUCUGCUAUCUCUUUUCAUUCCGAGAACAGUUAUACUUUUCUUUCCAGACUAGUAUUUAUAGAAAUCGUAGAUGUUCGUGAAUUUGUGACACCAGAUUCGUGGGUAGACAUGUAUUGGAUAAUUUGUUAUAACUCUUCUGCACUUUUCAUUUGUUUAACUUUAGUUAUUGUUUAUAUUUGUUUGGGUUGACUGCUAAUGGGUUAAAACCUUAAUAGUUGGCUUGCCUAGCUUUCACGAGUAGGUACCAUCACGACUCCUGAGGGUGGGAAAUUCGGGUCGUGACAUCCUCUAUUCAAGCUCAAAGAUGGGAGGUUAUAUACACAUCAAAAAAUAACAAAAAGAACUUGAAAGGCUAUAGAGUAGGGAAUAGCUUCAAACUUCUUCUCAGCUUGUGUAUUAUUGGUUAAGAAGUUGAGCCUCAACAAGACUUCAAGUCAUUUGCUGCAGAUAACAAGCUUGUAAGAACCUUGAUCUAGGUCUGACAUUGUGUUGACCCGGCCUGUCGUCUCAUGAGUUACCACUCUGUUUCCCUCAUUUCUGCUUCUUAUUGCUUUGUCUAUCGGUUCUAUGUGUGAUCGGGUUGGUUGACUUGGGUUCGGAAAGUAUUUGGUAAGGUUUGAAACACUUAGUCUCUUUUGAGGAAGCUUAAGUUGGAAAAGUCAACUGGAUGUUGACUUAUGUGUUAGAGGGAUGGAUGUGAGUUCUGAUUAUUCGGAUAGCUUCGGGGGGUGAUUUGGGACUUAGGAGCAUGAUCGGAAUGAGUUUUGGAGGUCCGGAGUAGAUUUAGGCUUGAAUUGGCGAAAUUGAAUUUUUGGCGAUUUCCGGUUGAUAGGUGAGAUUUUGAUAUAGAGGUCAGAAUUGAAUUCCGAGAGUUACAGUAGUUCCGUUGUGUCAUUUGGGAUGUAUGUGCAAAAUAUCAGUUCAUUCGGACAUGGUUUGGUUGGGUUUUUUAUCAAAAGAGGAAUUCGGAAAAUUUUGGAAACUUAGGCUUGAAUCCAAUGUGUUUUGGUUUGAUUCGAUGUUGUUUGAGGUGUUUUAAAGAUUGGUAUAAGUUUGAAUAAGGUUUUGGGAUAUGUUUGUGCUUGUGGUUGAGGUCCCGAGGGGCCUCAGGGUGAUUUCGGAUGGUUGACGAAGAGUUUGGGAGUUUAGAGGAGCUGCAGAUUUUUGCUGCUUCUAUUGUUUCCGCACCUGCGGAUUGGGGACCAUAGGUGCGACGCCGCAAAGGAGGAAUAUUCGUCGCAGAAGCGGAAGAUGGUGAAGUUGGCAGGAACCACAGAAGCGGUUGUGGGACCGCACCUGCGAUGGCGCAGGUGUAGCUUGUGCAUCGCAGAUGCGAAAAAUGGGACUUAAGUGAGGACCGCAGAUGCGGUUGUCUUGACCGCAGAAGCGGGAAUUGGGCCGCAGAUGCGAAAUCCCUGGGCCAGAAGGUAUAAAUUGUUUCUUUCGCAAUUUUUGAGCUAUUUCACUAUUUCUAAGUUGGCUUUGGAGCUUUCUAGACGAUUUUGAAGAAGAAUUUCAAGGGAACUUCAUUGAGGUAAGGAUUUUGGACCUAAAACCCGUUCCAAUGGUAUUAUUUCACGGAUUAGAGCUAUAAUUAAUAGAAUUUAAGGGCUAAAAUUGGGGAAACUAGGGCUUGGUAUUGGAGACCUAGACUUGAGGAUUUGAGGGACCAUUUGUGGUCGGAUUUUGAUACUUUUGAUAUGUAUGAACUCGUUUGGAGAUAAGGAAUCUAUUGGUGUGAAUUUUAUUGAAUUCCGAGAUGUGGGCCCGGGGUCGGGUUUUGGUAAUUUCGGGAUUUAUGUUGUAAAUUAUUUAUUUUCGCUUGGGCUUCACUCCCUUAGCAUAUUUUUACGCCGUGAUUUGUAUUUGGAUAGAUUCGACGCGAGUGGAGGCCGAUUCGAGGGGAAAAGGCAUCGCGGGCUAGAGUUUGGACCUGAUUGAGGUGAGCAAUGAUUGUGAAUGAUGUCCUGAGGAUAUGAAACCCCGGAUUGCACAUCGUUGUACUAUAUUGAGGUGACACACAUGCUUGAUAACGAGCAUGGGGUUGUGCACUCUUGGGGAUUGUGAAUUAGUCCAUCCUGAAUGACUAUUUUACCGCGUAUUUGACUGAAAUCUAUUUGUCAACAUCAUGGUUUGGGCUAAAAGCCAUAUUUGGGCCUAGUGCCAACUAUUUGAACCCUUAGGGGAUUUUUAUUGAUAUUUCCUCACUAUUUUGACUUUAUACCUGAACUCAGUCAUGUUAUAUUUCACUAUUUUCAUAACUCAGCCAUGUUUACUCUAUUUUAAUGCUUAAAUGAUAUUUUAAAUGAUAUUUUGGGCUGAGAAUCAUGUUUUACUAUUGCUCGAGUGGCUUGUGAGGAUCUUGACUGAGUAAGGUCGAGGGCUUAUGUUGUGAGGAAACAUUGACUAUGAUUAUGAGGCCGAGGGCUUGAGAUUCAUACGCCACGAGAUGGCUUGUUAAUAUGAGGCUGAGAGCCUGGAGAUGAUGCCACAAGAUGGCUUGAUAUUGCGCUUGGGUCGUAAGGGGCCCCUCCAGGAGUCUGCACACCCUCAGUGAGCGUAGGUACCCAUUGUGAUGUGAGAUGUAUCCCGAGGGGCUGGUAUUGUUCUGAAAUAUUGCCCGAGGGCCGAAAUUGUUGACAUUGUGCCCGGGGGGCGAACCUUUAUGUGUUUAUCUUUCUUAUUUGGCUGUCAUUUACCUGUUUAAUUGUUGAAAAGGCAUUCCAUGAAGUUUAAACUGAACUUAAAUGAUUUUACAUAUCUUUACUGGUUCUCUGUUUUACAACUUCAUUAUAGCCUGUAAUGUGCCUUACGUGUUUUCAUAUCUCUCAGUUGUUUAUUUAUGAUUAUUACUCACUGAGUUGGAGUACUCACUUUACUCCAUGUACCCUGUGUGCAGAUUCAGGCAUUGUUGAUCCUGCUAGAGCGAGUUGAGAGCUCCCGGCAGACUUCGGAGUCCAUGAGGUAGCUACUUGGCGUCCGUAGUCCCGUGUUCCUCCCCCUUUAUCUCAUUUCCUUCUUUUUAUCAGUUAUUCUGUAAUAGUUUAGUAGGCAUUUCAGACUUGUAGUGUAUUAAUAGAUGCUCAUGACUAGUGACACCCCAGUAUCGGGCUGUGUUGGGUUUUAUUUCCGUAAACUGUAAUGUCUACUGCUUACUUUUGGAUUAGUUUAUUACAUUAUAGACUUAAUUCGUAUUGGUUAACUGCUUAAAACUGAAAUGGGAAAGUGUCGGCUGGCCUUAUCUUCACGAGAGGUGCCAUUAUGACCGUGCCCGAGUUUAGGGUCGUGAUAAGUUAGUAUCAGAGCCUAGGUUACAUAGGUCUUAUGAGUCAUGAGCAGGUUUAUUAGAGUCUCGCGGAUCGGUAUGAAGACGUCUGUAUUUAUUCUCAAGAGGCUGCAGAACCUUUAGAAAAACUUCAUAUCCUUGAAAUUCUUGUCGUGCGAAUUUGUUGAUCCAAGUACUAAACUUCUGUUAUUCUAUUCUCUCACAGAUGGUGAGGACACGCGCUACCGGUCAGGAUGGACGAUCACCAGUACCACCAGUUUUGGCCACUAGAGGCCGAAGAUGCGGUCAUGUCGCGGUAGGGGUAGAGGUAUGGCCCACAUAGCAGCUAGGGCAACAUCUGCAGACCUACCAGCUACCCCAAUUUAGGAUCAGGUCCCAGUUGUGGAUGAUCCAGCAGCACCAGCUCUACCCAUUGUGAUUCUGGGUCUUCAGGAGGCCUUGGCUCAGAUUCUAUCAGUUUGCACUAGCCUAGCUCAGGCGGUUUCAAUCACUACAGCUGCAGCUACUUCUCAGGCCGGGGGAGGCAAUCAGACUCCUGCUGCUCACACACCUGACCAGGUCAUGUAGGGACUUUAGACGUCGGGGGCACAUCCAGCCUAGCCGGUUGUAGCUGUUCAGGACUAUGUAGUUACUGCUAUGCCAGAGGACGAGUAGCG
rnacentral:lncRNA from 1 species